AGAGUUUGAUCCUGGCUCAGGAUGAACGCUAGCUACAGGCUUAACACAUGCAAGUCGAGGGGAAACGAUAUUGGAAGCUUGCUUCCGAUAGGCGUCGACCGGCGCACGGGUGAGUAACGCGUAUCCAACCUGCCCACCACUUGGGGAUAACCUUGCGAAAGUAAGACUAAUACCCAAUGACGUCUCUAGAAGACAUCUGAAGGAGAUUAAAGAUUUAUCGGUGAUGGAUGGGGAUGCGUCUGAUUAGCUUGUUGGCGGGGUAACGGCCCACCAAGGCAACGAUCAGUAGGGGUUCUGAGAGGAAGGUCCCCCACAUUGGAACUGAGACACGGUCCAAACUCCUACGGGAGGCAGCAGUGAGGAAUAUUGGUCAAUGGGCGAGAGCCUGAACCAGCCAAGUAGCGUGCAGGAAGACGGCCCUAUGGGUUGUAAACUGCUUUUAUAAGGGAAUAAAGUUAGUCUCGUGAGACUUUUUGCAUGUACCUUAUGAAUAAGGACCGGCUAAUUCCGUGCCAGCAGCCGCGGUAAUACGGAAGGUCCGGGCGUUAUCCGGAUUUAUUGGGUUUAAAGGGAGCGUAGGCCGGAGAUUAAGCGUGUUGUGAAAUGUAGACGCUCAACGUCUGCACUGCAGCGCGAACUGGUUUCCUUGAGUACGCACAAAGUGGGCGGAAUUCGUGGUGUAGCGGUGAAAUGCUUAGAUAUCACGAAGAACUCCGAUUGCGAAGGCAGCUCACUGGAGCGCAACUGACGCUGAAGCUCGAAAGUGCGGGUAUCGAACAGGAUUAGAUACCCUGGUAGUCCGCACGGUAAACGAUGGAUGCCCGCUGUUGGUCUGAACAGGUCAGCGGCCAAGCGAAAGCAUUAAGCAUCCCACCUGGGGAGUACGCCGGCAACGGUGAAACUCAAAGGAAUUGACGGGGGCCCGCACAAGCGGAGGAACAUGUGGUUUAAUUCGAUGAUACGCGAGGAACCUUACCCGGGCUUGAAUUGCAGAGGAAGGAUUUGGAGACAAUGACGCCCUUCGGGGUCUCUGUGAAGGUGCUGCAUGGUUGUCGUCAGCUCGUGCCGUGAGGUGUCGGCUUAAGUGCCAUAACGAGCGCAACCCCUCUCCUUAGUUGCCAUCAGGUUAAGCUGGGCACUCUGGGGACACUGCCACCGUAAGGUGUGAGGAAGGUGGGGAUGACGUCAAAUCAGCACGGCCC
rnacentral:rRNA from 1 species